rnacentral:rRNA from 1 species
AUUGAACGCUGGCGGCAGGCCUAACACAUGCAAGUCGAACGAGUGGCGGACGGGUGAGUAAUGUCUGGGACACUGCCCGUUGGAGGGGGAUAACUACUGGAAACGGUAGCUAAUACCGCUUACCCUCGGAUGUGCUCAGAUGGGCUUAGCUAGUAGUUGGGGUAACGGCGCACCUAGGCGACGAUGACUAUCUGGUAGGAGAGGAUGACCAGACACACUGGAAGUGAAACACGGUCCAGACUCCUACGGUAGGGAGCAGUGGGGAAUAUUGCAAAAGGGGCGCAAUCCUGAUACAGCAAGGCCGCGGGUAUGAAGAAGGCCUUCGGGUGGUAAAGUACUUUCAGCGAGGAGGCGUUACUCGCAGAAGAAGCAACGGCUAACUCCGUGCCAGCAGCCGCGGUAAUAC